rnacentral:rRNA from 1 species
UACAGAGGUCCCAAGCGUUGUUCGGAUUCACUGGGCGUAAAGGGUGCGUAGGUGGCUUGGUAAGUUUGAUGUGAAAUCUCCGGGCUUAACCCGGAAAUGGCAUUGAAUACUAUUGAGCUGGAGGUUUGGAGGGGGGACUGGAAUUCCCGGUGUAGUGGUGAAAUGCGUAGAUAUCGGGAGGAACACCAGUGGCGAAGGCGGCUACCUGGCCCAUUCUUGACGCUGAGGCGCGAAAGCUAGGGGAGCAAACGGG